rnacentral:rRNA from 1 species
GGGUGACUGCGUACCUUUUGUAUAAUGGGUCAGCGACUUAUAUUCUGUAGCAAGGUUAACCGUAUAGGGGAGCCGCAGGGAAACCGAGUCUUAACUGGGCGUUAAGUUGCAGGGUAUAGACCCGAAACCCGGUGAUCUAGCCAUGGGCAGGUUGAAGGUUGGGUAACACUAACUGGAGGACCGAACCGACUAAUGUUGAAAAAUUAGCGGAUGACUUGUGGCUGGGGGUGAAAGGCCAAUCAAACCGGGAGAUAGCUGGUUCUCCCCGAAAGCUAUUUAGGUAGCGCCUCGUGAACUCAUCUUCGGGGGUAGAGCACUGUUUCGGCUAGGGGGUCAUCCCGACUUACCAACCCGAUGCAAACUACGAAUACCGAAGAAUGUUAUCACGGGAGACACACGGCGGGUGCUAACGUCCGUCGUGAAGAGGGAAACAACCCAGACCGCCAGCUAAGGUCCCAAAGUCAUGGUUAAGUGGGAAACGAUGUGGGAAGGCCCAGACAGCCAGGAUGUUGGCUUAGAAGCAGCCAUCAUUUAAAGAAAGCGUAAUAGCUCACUGGUCGAGUCGGCCUGCGCGGAAGAUGUAACGGGGCUAAACCAUGCACCGAAGCUGCGGCAGCGACACUAUGUGUUGUUGGGUAGGGGAGCGUUCUGUAAGCCGUUGAAGGUGGCCUGUGAGGGUUGCUGGAGGUAUCAGAAGUGCGAAUGCUGACAUAAGUAACGAUAAUGCGGGUGAAAAACCCGCACGCCGGAAGACCAAGGGUUCCUGUCCAACGUUAAUCGGGGCAGGGUGAGUCGACCCCUAAGGCGAGGCCGAAAGGCGUAGUCGAUGGGAAACAGGUUAAUAUUCCUGUACUCGGUGUUACUGCGAAGGGGGGACGGAGAAGGCUAUGUUGGCCGGGCGACGGUUGUCCCGGUUUAAGCAUGUAGGCGGAUGUUCCAGGUAAAUCCGGAACGUUACUAACGCUGAGGUGUGAUGACGAGGCACUACGGUGCUGAAGUGACAAAUGCCCUGCUUCCAGGAAAAGCCUCUAAGCAUCAGGUAACAUCAAAUCGUACCCCAAACCGACACAGGUGGUCAGGUAGAGAAUACCAAGGCGCUUGAGAGAACUCGGGUGAAGGAACUAGGCAAAAUGGUGCCGUAACUUCGGGAGAAGGCACGCUGAUGGUAGGUGAAGCGACUUGCUCGUGGAGCUGAAAUCAGUCGAAGAUACCAGCUGGCUGCAACUGUUUAUUAAAAACACAGCACUGUGCAAACACGAAAGUGGACGUAUACGGUGUGACGCCUGCCCGGUGCCGGAAGGUUAAUUGAUGGGGUUAUCCGUAAGGAGAAGCUCUUGAUCGAAGCCCCGGUAAACGGCGGCCGUAACUAUAACGGUCCUAAGGUAGCGAAAUUCCUUGUCGGGUAAGUUCCGACCUGCACGAAUGGCGUAAUGAUGGCCAGGCUGUCUCCACCCGAGACUCAGUGAAAUUGAACUCGCUGUGAAGAUGCAGUGUACCCGCGGCAAGACGGAAAGACCCCGUGAACCUUUACUAUAGCUUGACACUGAACACUGGUCCUUGAUGUGUAGGAUAGGUGGGAGGCUUUGAAGUGUGGACGCCAGUCUGCAUGGAGCCAUCCUUGAAAUACCACCCUUUAAUGGCUGGUGUUCUAACGUGGGCCCCU